AUGGGAAUGUAUUUACAUGUGCUGUUUUUGCAGUACUAUUUUGUCUCGAGUUUCGUGUGCAACGCCGUCGCUUUCGUUGAGGAGCCCUCCGGAGGCAAGUCGGGCGGGUACUGUGGGCGAAUCAUCCGGGCGCAGACCCAGGGGACUCGGAAGGAUGGGCACCAUGAGUUCCGACUCAGAGUGGAGGGGGACCCGGAAAACUAUCAGCCGGGCAGCACCUACAGAGUGGUUCUCCUGGCAAUCAGCCCUGCUUACUUCAGAGGUUUCACUCUUAUCGCACUGAAGGAGGGCAGAGAGGGCACCACAGAGGACGACUACGCGGGCCAGUUCCAGAACAUCGAUAAAGAGGACACACAGUUUAUGACCAACUGUGCCCCUGCUGUGACGGAGAGCACACCUCGAAGACGCACUAGGAUACAGGUCUUUUGGACGGCGCCGCCUAUUGGGUCUGGCUGUUUAACACUAAAGGCCAGUAUUGUCCAGAAGAGAAUCAUUUAUUUCCAGGAUGAAGGCUCUCUCACUAUUCGACUGUGUGAGAAAGAGCGUGUGUUUGGUGAAGCCACAGAAGUUCCUGAUACGGAGUGCUGUGCCUGCGGAACAGCCAAGUACAGACUCACCUUCUAUGGCAACUGGUCAGAGAAAGUACAUCCCAAAGACUACCCAAGACGAGCGAACCACUGGUCGGCUCUGAUUGGUGCGUCUCAUACCAGAAGUUACGUGCUAUGGGAGUACGAGGGCUACGCCAGCGAGGGAGUCCGUCAGGUUGCUGAGUUUGGCUCCCCAAUCAGGAUGGAAGAAGAGAUUCGACAAAAGGGAGAUGAAGUACUGACUGUUAUAAAAACUAAAGCUCAGUGGCCGGCAUGGCAGCCGCUCAACCUGCGAGCAGCUCCAUCAGCAGAGUUUUCUGUGGACCGGACCCAUCACCUGAUGUCCUUCCUCACCAUGCUUGGGCCCAGCCCAGACUGGAAUGUGGGGCUGUCAGGAGAGGACCUUUGCACCAAGGAGUGUGGCUGGGUCCAAAGGCUGGACACAGACCUCAUUCCCUGGGAUGCAGGCACUGACAGUGGUGUCACAUAUGAGUCACCCAACAAGCCUACCAUUCCUCAAGAGAAGAUCCGACCCUUGACCAGUUUGGACCACCCCCAGAGCCCAUUCUAUGACCCAGAGGGUGGGGCCAUUACCCCUGUAGCCAAGCUGGUGGUGGAACGCAUCGCUAGAAAGGGAGAGCAGUGUAAUAUGGUCCCAGACACCAUAGAUGACAUUGUAGCAGAUAUUGGACAGGAGGAGAAGGAAGAAGAUGACACACCACAGACAUGUAUCUACUCAGGCUGGUCUCCCUGGUCAGCCUGUAGCAGCGCUACGUGUGAAAAAGGCCGCAGAAUGAGGCAGAGGAUGCUGAAGGCCCAGUUGGAUCCCAGCGUAACGUGUCCCCACACUCAAGAUUUUCAGCCCUGCAUGGGACCGGGAUGCAGUAUGGAGGAGACCUCAACUUGUAUGAUGUCGGAGUGGAUUAGCUGGUCUGCCUGCAGUGUGUCCUGUGGGAUGGGGAUGAGGUCUAGAGAGCGAUAUGUCAAACAGUAUCCUGAGGACGGCUUGCUCUGCCAGCUCCAAACUGAGGAGACAGAGAAGUGUGUUGUCAACGAUGAAUGCUCAUCAAGCACCUGUGUGGUGACUGAGUGGGCAGAGUGGGACCCUUGCAGCGUCACCUGCGGCUUGGGUAUGAGAAGACGUGAACGCAUGGUUAAGAUGCCUCCUACAGACGGGUCAAUAUGUAAGACAGAGGUGGCCGAAGUGGAGAAAUGUAUGAUGCCAGAAUGCCAUACCGUUCUCUGCAUGCUGUCUCCCUGGUCUGACUGGAGUGAGUGUAGUGUGACGUGUGGGCAGGGUUUGCAAACACGUCAGAGGAUGCUAAAGUCUGAUCCUGCAGGGUGCACUGAGGAGCUGGAGCAGACGGAGAAGUGCAUGCUGCCAGAGUGCUCCAUUGACUGCAUGGUUUCGGAGUGGUCCGAGUGGUCGCAGUGCAACAAGUCCUGUGGUAAAGGACACACCAUUCGAACCCGUAUGGUUAAACUGGAGCCACAGUUUGGGGGCAGUGUUUGUCCCGAGACCAUCCAGAGGAAGAAAUGCAAGGUCAGGAAGUGCAGAACAAAAAUGACGGAGGAGAGAGGAGGUGCAGGUGAAGGAGGAGGAAAGAGAAGUAGACGGGGUAAACAGGGAAGAGAUGCAGCGGCAGAGGAGCAGCCAGGUUGCAGGAUGCAGCCAUGGGCCAGCUGGACGGACUGUACCAAAAUAUGCGGAGGUGGGAUCCAGGAACGUUUCAUGAUGGUGAAGAAAAGAGCUAAAGGCACACUGAUGGGCAGCUGUAAAGAGCGGAAAGAGAUCCGUGCCUGUAACAUUCAUCCCUGCUAGGGGGUACUACUGAGUUAUAUUGGAGGGGAGGGAAGCAGCAGGUAAAAUAUGAGUUGUGAAAAUAUGGGUUUAUUUGAUAAGAUAAUAAUGGGGAAAGUUUUGUGGACAGGGAGGUAAGGUUAGGGAAGGGUGAGAUGAUGGGCUAGUCUGACCCUUUGUUUUUAUUUUUGGAACGUGUCUGCUUCGUAAUGCAUUUACUGACACAAAGAGGCCUUUUCCAACCAUCAUUAUUGUUACCAUUAACCAUUACUGUUGUAGCUAUAGUUCACUCUUGAAAUUACAUUAUUGCACUUAUACAACUGGAUCAACUUUCUUCCGUAUUCUUUUCAUCCUAAAGUGGCAAGCUGCUGCUGUUUAGAAUAAGUGUAAAAAUGCAGAGUAAUCAAGUAAGUAGUCAACUAAUCAGAGUCAAUGAAAAGGCAGACGGCUCAGCUUAAGAUGUGUAGGCUGGCGUCUCCCAGAGGUAAAGUGGUGUGUUUCCGCAUAUAUAUAAAACCAUCACUGUGCAGAAGGAUCUAUCAUAUACCUACAGUACCUAAAGAUAUGUACAACAUGUAGAUGGAGCCUGCAUGUUACAAUCUCUUAUGCCAUCUGUUGUGUGUCUGUCACACAAGAGACUUUUGUUCCUUAACUUACGUAACAUUUAAGUACCCCCUUAAAAAAGUACCAAGCCUGGGGUGAAGCUAAGGACAAACAGAAGUCCCAUCCCCUGUUAGAACACAAUUCAUUUUUAAAUCAUGGACAAACUUCCAACCCUAGUAUGGCAUUUUUAAAGUUUUCAAUUGACAAAAAAGCAACAAGAGCAAAAGUGAUAAACAGACUAAAAUGAAAGAUUUCUUUUCUAUUUUUUGCAAGACAUAGAUGCUCAUACAUGAAUUGUUUUAAAGACUUAUGGAUGUACUGUAUAACUACUAACCAACCCUUAAACCUUUAUAAAUGAAACUACUAUCUAAGUACUCAAAAAUACUUUCCCUAAUAAACAGAUUCAUUAAAAUGGUGAUGUUUAAUACUGUUAACAUGAGUCUUUUUAAACUGUACUGCUGUUUAUCUGUUGUUUCAGCUGAUGUAGCAUUACACCUCUUAUUUUAGCAUGUG